rnacentral:rRNA from 1 species
CGCAUGUCUUCAGGGCGGGGCCCACGGCCUAUCAGCUAGUUGGUGUGGUAACGGCGCACCAAGGCGAAGACGGGUAGCUGGUCUGAGAGGAUGGCCAGCCACACGGGGAUUGAGACACGGCCCCGACUCUUACGGGAGGCAGCAGUGGGGAAUAUUGGGCAAUGGGCGCAAGCCUGACCCAGCGACGCCGCGUGGGUGAUGAAGGCCUUCGGGUCGUAAAGCCCUGUCGGGUGGAAAGAACGGUCGUGCGGCGAAUAGGCGUGCGACGUGACGGUACCACCGAAGGAAGCACCGGCCAAUUCCGUGCCAGCAGCCGCGGUAAGACGGAAGGUGCAAGCGUUGCUCGGAAUCACUGGGCGUAAAGGGUGCGUAGGCGGCUUGGUAAGUCGGGUGUGAAAGCCCCGGGCUCAGCCUGGGAAGGGCACUCGAAACUGUCGAGCUGGAGUGCCGGAGGGGAGAGUGGAAUUCCUGGUGUAGCGGUGAAAUGCGUAGAUAUCAGGAGGAAUACCGGUGGCGAAAGCGAU